rnacentral:lncRNA from 1 species
CUGGAAGGCCAUGGGGAGACAUUCUGAGUUCUAUUUUGGACAUGAUCAUCUUAUGAUGCAAUCUUGGAUGUCAAGAAGGCUGUUAGAUAUAGAAGUCUAGAGUUUAAAAGAGAAGUCAAAGCUGAAGAUACAAAUUUUGUGGUCACAUAAAGAAGUAUUUAAAGUCAUAGGACUAAAAUGACACAAGCUAGGGAAUGAAUGUAGAGAUGGACAGAUUGAGCCCUGGGAUUCUUCAACAUCUAGAGUUUUAGAAAAAGAACAAGUCCCAGCAGCGCACAUGAGAAAAGCCAGAGAAAUAGGAAGUUCAGGAGAAAAUGUGGUUUCCUGGAGGGCACAUGAAGUGCAUCUCAAGAAGGAGUUAAGUAAUCAGUGCUGCCAAGAGGUCCAAUGAACACCGAAUGUCAACCACCAGAUGUGGCAACAUGUAAGGCAAUAUGACCUUGACCAAAGAAGAUAGUUUUGGUUAAUUAUGGUGACAUAUUCAAAACAUAUGGUGGUGGCUCUUGGCACUUUUCAUAUUCUGAAAUUUCCUUUUGAAUUUCCGUGAAGAACCCAUUUCCCAAACUGAUUUUACCUCGUGGGACUACCGUCGCAGUUGAUACUCUGAGAGCAGUGUGUUAGGAGCAUGCAGUAGUCCUCACUGUGCUCCACAUGCUGACUGACCCACCAACCAAAGUGACAUUUCACCCAUUUCACCAGGGUAGUGAACUGCCCCCUUUGCCCCAGAACAAUCUGUCACUCUAUCCUCCUGUGAUUUUCAUUAAGAGAUACGAAAACAGCUCUCUGCUGUCAUUUUGCCACCUAUAAACCCCACUUUUGGGCUGGUUACAGUGGCUCAUGCCUGUAAUCCCAGCACUUUGCGAGGCCAAAGCGGGCGGACC